AGAACGAACGCUGGCGGCAUGCCUAAUACAUGCAAGUCGAACGAACUCUUCGGAGUUAGUGGCGCACGGGUGCGUAACGCGUGGGAAUCUGCCCUUGGGUUCGGAAUAACAGUUGGAAACGACUGCUAAUACCGGAUGAUGACGAAAGUCCAAAGAUUUAUCGCCCAGGGAUGAGCCCGCGUAGGAUUAGCUAGUUGGUGAGGUAAAGGCUCACCAAGGCGACGAUCCUUAGCUGGUCUGAGAGGAUGAUCAGCCACACUGGGACUGAGACACGGCCCAGACUCCUACGGGAGGCAGCAGUAGGGAAUAUGGACAAUGGGCGAAAGCCUGAUCCAGCAAUGCCGCGUGAGUGAUGAAGGUCCUUAGGGUUGUAAAGCUUACUUUACCCGAGUAUGAUAAUGACAGUAGCGGAAGAAUAACGCCCGACUAACUCCGUGCCAGCAGCCGC
rnacentral:rRNA from 1 species